CAGUCGCCGCGGUAAUACGAAGGGGGCUAGCGUUGCUCGGAAUCACUGGGCGUAAAGGGUGCGUAGGCGGGUCUUUAAGUCAGGGAUGAAAUCCUGGAGCUCAACUCCAGAACUGCCUUUGAUACUGAAGAUCUUGAGUUCGGGAGAGGUUAGUGGAACUGCGAGUGUAGAGGUGAAAUUCGUAGAUAUUCGCAAGAACACCAGUGGCGAAGGCGGCUCACUGGCCCGAUACUGACGCUGAGGCACGAAAGCGUGGGGAGCAAACAGGAUUAGAUACCCCAGUAGUCCCUGUCUCUUAUAC
rnacentral:rRNA from 1 species